rnacentral:rRNA from 1 species
CAGUAGCCGCGGUAAUACGUAGGUGGCAAGCGUUGUCCGGAAUUAUUGGGCGUAAAGGGCUCGCAGGCGGUUUCUUAAGUCUGAUGUGAAAGCCCCCGGCUCAACCGGGGAGGGUCAUUGGAAACUGGGAAACUUGAGUGCAGAAGAGGAGAGUGGAAUUCCACGUGUAGCGGUGAAAUGCGUAGAGAUGUGGAGGAACACCAGUGGCGAAGGCGACUCUCUGGUCUGUAACUGACGCUGAGGAGCGAAAGCGUGGGGAGCGAACAGGACUAGAGACCCGUGUAGUCCCUGUCUCUUAUAC